UUGGAACGAUGGCGAAUGGACUGCUUUGUGGUUUGGCGGCGAAUAGUGAGAUAAUUAUUUGUUUUUUGAAGUAUCGGAAGAUGUUUUAAUGAAUAAGUAAUUGUUUUGCAAUUUGCUUGCCUCAUUUACGAAGUAUGUCUUCAUUUGCAAAAAAGAUUUCUCUGCGCAAUUGGAAUAAUCGGCAGUAAAAUGAAUGUAAUAGUUUAAUUUGAUAUGCAUUUUUACGAAUACAUGGCUAAUUAAAUUAUUAUGUUUGUUUUGUUGGUGAUAUUUCAAUUUGCGCAGGAAAUCCCAACAAUUUUCACCGAUCAAUCUUUUACAUAAAUGUGUCAUGUCUGCAUGAUAAAAAGUGUGUUUAUAAAUAUUGCUAGUUAACAUAAAGAAGAAAAGCAGUAGGGGAAAAUUAAAAGAAGGUAAAAUUUCUAUUAAUUUUCCCAAUUGCGUAAUUCUCUAUUAAU